UACGUAGGGGGCUAGCGUUGUCCGGAAUCAUUGGGCGUAAAGAGCGUGUAGGCGGCCAGAUAAGUCCGCUGUGAAAUCUCGAGGCUCAACUUCGAGCUGUCGGUGGAAACUAUCUGGCUAGAGUCCGGAAGAGGAGAAUGGAAUUCCUGGUGUAGCGGUGAAAUGCGCAGAUAUCAGGAGGAACACCCGUGGCGAAAGCGGCUCUCUGGGACGGUACUGACGCUGAGACGCGAAAGCGUGGGGAGCAAACAGG
rnacentral:rRNA from 1 species